GUGGAACUUGGGAUUCGAACGGCAGGCGGGAAGUGCUCUAGCAGGGGAGUCUGACCUUGUGAGGGAAUACCUGUGUCCCCCCUUUUUUCCCCUUUUUACCCAAUAAAACCCUGCCUUACUCACCCUUUAAAUCAUCUGCGAGCCUGAAUUUUCAUGGCCGUGGGACGGACAAGAACUUUAUCUUCAGCUGAACUAAGAAAAAGUCCUGCAACAUUUUUGGCGCGCAAUGUGGGGGCACCAGAAGCGGGCACCGUUGAGCUGUUGCAACUGUUCUGCUGGAGCCUUAUGUAUGUGGUUGAAACCACCUGUACUACUGGAAUGAAAGCACCUUUACAGAAGAGGCAAUGCAAGUUGUAUUCAUCACAUGUGUAGAAUGAAUUAAGAUUUAUGCCAGUUGCAAAGAAGAAUAUUGGCUCACUAUUUUUCCUCUGGGCAUGUGGAAAUGUAAAUCAGUCCAUGUUACUCACCUCGGAGAAGCAGAAGUACGAUUUACUAUUGUUGCUUGCUUACUUACUCUUAUCAAUUUCUAUGAGAGCUCCCCUCUCCACUGAGGGCUGAUUUCAUCACUCAACAAAAUUCUCCGAAUUCACCAUCCUUCAGUUCAUCCACAUGACCUCAUUCCUCUUGGGCACCGGACAAGAAUUUGGGAUGCACCAAAUGCAGGGGUACAAGCAAUUUUCCAGUCUUGACCCUUUAUCUGUUGACCAAGCUAAGGCAGAAACCAGCUAAAUUCUGGAUUUAAUCUUGAGCAGCAAAAAAGAUCAGCUUUUGAAGUGGAUCUGCUUUUAUUCUUGGCAAAAGUUCAGCGGAGACCAACCAGAGUGGUGACAAAGUUCUUCAACAUCAAGCCAAAUGUAAUACAAGGAAUUACGGAUAGUGCUUAAUCUAAAAUAAAGAAAUUCCACAUCUCCCUAAAAAGUUAUUGGCUUCAAGAAUGAAAACAAAAGAAGCAUAUUUGUCUCAAUCCAAACACAGACACCAGAAAGACAAACCAGGAGUAUACAGCAAAGUAGCUUGCAGGAUAAUACAUUGAAAAAUGUAAUUGUGCAUAAAUCAUGCACAAAGUAGAAACCACAAAUUCUGUAUUUGGCAAGGCUUCGGUUCCUUUGCAUAAUUCUUUCAUUUUCAUCUUGCUGCUUCCAUUCUCUUUUCAUCAAAAAAAGCUACAUAAAACAAAGACAUAAACUGUAUGCAAUUAAAAUGAGAAAAUAGCUGAAAGGAAUGUAUUGAUAAUUAUGUUAAAAUCUAUACCAUAAGUAUUCUUGCAUUGUUAAGCAUCUAAUUUUUCAUGUGUUGACAUCAGCAUCUCAGUUCUCUCUAACAUCUGAAAGCUUUUUUUUUUAAGGCAACUUCUUUUAGAGUGAACAAACUUAUGUACCACCGAGUUGACAAAAGUAUAACUAUAUCCUACAGAAAGAGACCUCAAGUAAACCUCCAGCAGCCAUCUGGACUUCCAUGAAAACAGAACAAUCAGUGAGAUGCAGAGCUUGGAGGAGACAGUUUCCAUAGACUGAAGCACGUGCUGAAGCAAAGUUCACACUUGCAGGAUUAGAAGAGGUUGACCGAAAGAAGGAAGGACAUGGACAGCUAUGUUGUUGUGGAGUCCUGUUUUAUAGUCAUAACCUUGAGUCAAGUGAGUUUGUCUGGACAGACAGAGCUUGUUGCCUUUACUUAUAGGGAAGGCACCGGACACAGACAGCCUCAAGGACAUUUGUUCUAGCCUUUCAGUAUCCUUUCUCUUAAUUAUCUCACCUCAUCCAUGAAGCUGGUAUGUACGAUUUUUCCUUUCUUUCUCAAUCCUUUAAAAAAUUAAAGCUCUAAAUCUCAUUUCCACUUAGAUUUUAAUGUUGCAUUGUAACUUAAGAUAAAACCUUGCUCUGAUGUUAAAAAUACUAAAGUAAGAAGCAAUAUGGCAUAGUGCUUAUGAGCAGGACUACAUAGUUCUUUCUGAAUACAAAUCUCAGAUAAAACACUAUCUCAGUGAUCAACCAGGUUAAGCAACCUUUUUAGUGCCUCAAUUAUUCCAUUUGUAAAAUUGUAAUAAUGAUAGUACUAACCUAUAAGAUUGUGGUGAGGAUUAAGUCAGAUAAUACAAAAGAAGCAUUUAGAGUAUUUCCUGGCAUUAUCUACCAUUUAUUGAAUUUUUAUGGUUAAGAAGAAUAAGGAAAAGCAGAAGAAAAGGAAAAGAGAAAAAAUACAUAAGAAGAAGGAAGAGUGGUAAGCUCUAGUAAAUUACAACAAACGGUAACGUAGAAAACAUUUGUUAGCCCUUAAUAUAGGCCAGGCACUGUGUUCAAUGCUUAAACCUCAUUACUGUUCUUUGAAGUGGAUAACAUUAUUCCUUCCAUUUUAAAGAAAGGAAUACUAAAGACAACUUUGUCAAUAUUAUUCAUGUAAUAAAUGACAGAAUUUGACCAAGACAAUAGAGAAUGAACUCUUAAUCACUAUAUUGUUUUAUUUUUUGAAAAUAGAUUUUAAGUUCUUAUUAAAUGUUAAUGACUCACAUCAAAAUAAAGCCAAUCAAAAUUGACAGCAA
ensembl:lncRNA MIR924HG MIR924 host gene